UACGUAGGGUGCGAGCGUUGUCCGGAAUUAUUGGGCGUAAAGAGCUUGUAGGCGGUCUGUCGCGUCUGCUGUGAAAAUCCGGGGCUCAACCCCGGACUUGCAGUGGGUACGGCAGACUAGAGUGUGGUAGGGGAGACUGGAAUUCCUGGUGUAGCGGUGAAAUGCGCAGAUAUCAGGAGGAACACCGAUGGCGAAGGCGGAUCUCUGGGCCUUGCCUGACGCUGAGGCGCGAAAGCUAGGGGAGCGAACAGG
rnacentral:rRNA from 1 species